rnacentral:lncRNA from 1 species
GCUGAGAGUUUAGACGCUUUCUUAUGCUCCUUUAAUUAAUUCUUGGCCUCUGUCUAGGUUUGAUGAGUACCUUGUGCUAUUUUGGUCUUAGAUAAUCAGAUUCUGGUAAUAAGCCGUCACAAUUUUUAUUUGCAAGAUCCUGCCAUGUUAUUCUAACUGAACUGUUUACGUCAGUUUUACUCCCUCCGUUUCUUUUUACCCCGCAUAUAAGAUUUGUCUGAAGUCAAACUUUGUAAAGUUUGAUGGCUACUUUGUGCUAUUUUGGUUUGUGAUGAUCAGAUUCUGGUAAUAAGCCGUCACAGUUUUUCUUUGCAAGACCCUGCCAUGUUGUUCUGACUGAGCUUUUCUACUUCAGUUUUGCUGUGUAGUAGUGCAUCUUGAUAUCAUGUUUGAACUGAAAGCAUUAAUGUAUUUCCCUUGAAAUGAUGCUUAUGCUGAAAGUAUGCUGGCAGGGUUACUAGAAAAAUGGCUUCAGGCCAUAAUACUUGUUAUUGCUUCAGUUCUGGGUUGUUGCAUCAGUCUGUUAAGUAAUUACCUUGUUUGUUAAACAGCGGUGAGCAUGCCAAAUAGGGGCAUUUUGGGACAUGCUAAAUGCAACUGAAAGAACUAUGUUAUCUGUGUGUUGUUGUGCUUUAUUUCUCCUUCCCGUGGCCCCUGUACUUCUGGUUCACUUGAACCCUAUUUAACAUCCCCACCUCUGAACCCUUUCUAGAAUAGUAAUCUGUGUUACAGCCUCUUGUUUUUGCUGUUCCUUUAUCUCCUUUCAUGUUUUCAUAUGCCCUCAAUGAUUAUUUCCUGUGGGAUCUGAUUGUCAAAAGUACCUAGCUUUGCUGUGUCAUAUACUUAUGAGAAAAUUGAGAUUGUUACUAGAGAAAGAUCUAAUGCCAUGUCAUGUUUACUUUGUCGAACUUCCGAGGGUCAGGUCUCGGGAGUUUUGUUAUGUGCAAAUGGAAGUCAUAGUUAUCUAGAUAGAUAGAUAUAUUUUCUCUCGUUGGCAAGUUAAAAGGCCCACAUAGAUUUCGGCAUCAUCUGCUAUAUAUGUUCAGGUCAUCUCUUCCCUAAGCCAUGGUGAGCUACAUGGAGCAUCUGAAUUUCGGCACUCAGUUAUUUUUGACAUUUCGCUCUGCUUAGAGGUUGUCUUGAUGGGGUACUGUCUUGUUAGCUUCUCUCUACUUGAUGCAUUUGUUUUGAACUGAGUCAAAUUUGUCAUAUUUGUUUACCUGUGCCCUGUGCUACGAUUUCUCUGCUACCUUAAGCAUCUCUUGAAACCGCUUCAUCAUUCAGAUUUACAUAAAGGGCCAGGUGUUGUCUUUUCUUGAACGAAAAAACUAACGCCCAUGUGGCAUCUUACACAUCGCCCACACGCCUCCAUCACCACUCAUUUUGCCACGUAUAAACAGAUGACAUCAGCAGGAAUCUUUUAGGUUUUCGGCUUAAAAAUAUUUUAUCUCCUAAUUAAAAAAUUGAGUUAAAAAUCCAUUUUCACCAUUAAAUCCAUCUCGACAAGAUCUUCAAAACUAGAUCCCAUGUUGAUAUGUUUUGACGAAUUUGUUUUGCCCAAAAGUUGCCAUGAUGUUCACACUAUAGUUGCCAUAGUGCUUAAACUAAAGUUGCCAUGUGGCAAUUUUAGUUGGUAGAGUAUGGCAAUUUUAGUUUUUUUUAUGAUGGCAAUUCCAGUACUUUGACCAUAAAAAAUAUUUUUUGUAUGAACCAUGGCAAUUUUAAGUGCAUGUAUCAUGGCAAUUUUAGUUUAUGGUUCAUGCCAAGUCUAGUUUCCUAAUUCCCCGUUUUAUAAUAUGUCAAAAUUUUACUUUUAAAUUAGAAAAAAAAUAGUUAAAACGUAUUGUGACAACUUCAGUGUAAACAUCAUGGCAUUUCAUGUGCAAUAGACAUGACAACUUUUAACCCCCAAAAAAAAUUCGCCGAAAUAUAUUGAUAUGAGAUCUAGUUUCAAAGAUCUCGCCGCGAGGGACUUAAUGGUGAAAACGGAUCUUCAAUCAGACUUUUUAUUUAAGAGAUAAAAUAUUUUAAAAAUUGAAAAUCUAAAAAGAUUCUCACAUACAUGCAUACGGUGACGUGGCGCAGUCUGUGUGUUAUAGGGUGUGUUGGCGGGUUUGCCUCCCACCACAUGUGUGGGCGUUAGCGUGAUUUUUUUUCAAAACUAUGAUAUAUUAUAUAGCAUUUUCGGAAACUAUAGCACGUAAUGCAAAAAACCAAAAGUAGCAGCCCGUCGGCCCGGUGUUGGCCGAAGAGGCACUUUUCGGUCACAGUUUGGCCGAAGUGGGCUUUUCGGCCCGCGGUUGACCGAAGAAACGCGUAGCUGGGCCAAAACCGAGCGUCGGCGGAGGGCGGGCCGAAAAUAGUAGCUUCGGCCUGGCGGCGACCGAAGUGGGCCUUUUCGGCCAGGCAGCGGCCGAAGAGCCUUUUCGGCCUCCCAUCGACCGAAAAGUAGCGGAUAAGGCCCCGCACGGCGUCUCCUUCCUCUCGCAUGUUCGCCUCUGUUCUUCUUUCUCUCUCUCGUUUCUUCUCUAUACCUCACCACCCCUAGCUGAUCUCCUCUGUUUGCCACCCAUUUUCACAUUGAAGCCACAUAAUCGGUAGAUCGUAGCAAUCCCAAAUGGCCUACGGUGUUUUUUUUGCUAUGGGAUAGUUUUCUGUGCGUUUGUGGAGGAGUAGCCAUGGUGGGGAGGAGGAGGUGCGGUUGGGCAGGAGGUGUUGAUGAGGAGGAGCAGGAGUUGUGGGGGAGCAGCAGCUGUGGAGGAGGAGGUGCGGCUUGGGGGUGACUGGAGUUGAACCUCCGGUCGUCGAGGGGGCGGCGGUGGUGCUGUCGUUGUUCGGUGGUGCAAGCACCUCCGCUAAGGUAUAAUCAUGUCCUCACAAAUUUUCUCUGAGUUGCAUAGUUUAGUUAGUGUAGAUAAGUUAUAUUGCGAAUUGUAGUGUUAAUUUGUAUGUGGUGGCAUUUUAGCGGAGUAAUAAUUGUGUUAGUGUAGCGGAAUAAUAAUAAUUGUGUUAGUGUAGCGGAUAAUAAAAAUUGUGUUAGUGUUAAUUUGUAUGUGGUGGCAUUUUAGCGGAUUUUAGUUAGUGUAGCGGGUAAUAUUAGUGUUCGUUGUGAUUAAUGAGAAGAUGACAAUGUCUGACAGGUGAAAAUGUCUGAAUCAGUAAAUCUGAAUGUUUACUAUGACGCUGGUAAUGUUCGAUAUAAUGAGUUGGGGGUUGAUCUUAGCGAGUUUAAAAAUGGGGUCAUGACACUAGCAGACCCGGACAGACUGGACAUUAGACAGUUGAAGUAUUGGUUGACAACUAGUUUCGGGCUGGAUCCUGAAGUAUGUUACGUCAGUAUUCAUGCGUUGUGGACCAAAUCUUGUAAAAAUGUCAAGUGGGAGUUGAUGCCGAUAGAUAGGAGCCAGCAUUGGUUGUCCUUGUUAAGAUGGUGCCGAGACCGAAGAAUCCACCCAUAUGCACUUGUGCAACCUGUGCCGAAGGAGGAGAAUACUGUACAACUCCAUAGGGGGUAUGAACCCGGCCAGGGCAGUGAAGUGUCUAACGAGAUUAUUUUAUCCGGGUCACAACCACAAGAUGUGGAUGCUAGCCAACCCGAGAAAGAGUCAGACUACGUGCCACACAAUGUUUGUGGUCAUGAUACUGGGAAGAGUAGCCAGUCGAUAAUAUUAGCUGGUUAUGGUUUUGCUGAUGGGGAUGAGGAAGGGGAUGAAAUGCAGAGAGUGAUGGAGGAAGAGGACGAGGAUGGAUUGGUGGAGGAACUAGAUUCUGAAAAUUCUGAGGAUGAAGUGGAGGUACCGAUUCCUUCUGCAUGCGAGCAAGACAUAUCCACCGGCCUUACAGUCAAUGAUGGCCAUGAGACUCCAUGGCAGUAUAAUCUGAACCAAGUACAAAUAGGGGCUAUGUUUGAUACAAAGAAAAAAUUGAAGUAUGCGGUGAUAAAGUGGGCUAUAUCUACGCAGAGGAUUUUCCGGACACACAUAUCAAGUCCAACAAACUAUACCAUAAAAUGUGUUGAAACAGGUUGUCCAGGGAAGGUGCACGGGCACGUGCCGAAGUAUGACAUCCACUGGGUUCUCACCAUUGUCGUCCCACAUAAUUGUGUGAGGAAGAACCUGCUGGUGAAGCAUCCAAACCUGACUUCAAAUCUCAUUGCGCAACUCAUGUGUACUAAGAUAGUAGAGAAGAAAGAUAUAGAAGCAAAAACAUCCAGACAGCAGUGAAGGUCAGAUGGAAUUAUGUCAUUCCUUAUGGGAAGGCUUGGAGGGCUAAGCAGAAGGCUAUGGAGGAAAGGUUUGGAACGUUCUUCGACUCAUAUGAUAAUGUUGUUCGUCUCCUUGGCAUACUGAAGGAGAGGAAUCCAGGCACUUAUGUGAACGUACAACACAUGAGGUUGCUGAGUAUACCAGAUUUCAAGGUGUUGAAACGAGUGUUCUUCUCUUUUGCUAUGUGCAUCGAAGCUUUCCGGCAUUGUCCUCCUGUUAUGUUUGUGGAUGGUACAUUCCUGACCGGUCAGUAUAGAGGGCAAAUCCUGACUGCUAUUGGUGUGGACGGGAACAACCAAAUCAUCCCACUUGCUAUGGCAUUUGUGGAGGGUGAGAACUUUCCCAGUUGGGUAUGGUUCUUCCGCCAAGUGAAAAUUGCCAUCGUGAAGGACCGACCAAACGUGUGUGUCAUUCAUGACAGACAUGCUGGUAUAUUGAAGGCCGUGAAGACACUUCGUAAUCCAACAGAUGACGAACUAACACCUUGGAGGGACUUGCAGAGCUGGUGGUGCAUGCGCCAUCUUGGGGCUAAUUUUUUCUCACAGUUCAAGAACAAGCGGUUGAUGAACUUGUUCAAAAAAUUAUGCAAGCAGAGCCAGCAGCGCAAAUACGGAUUUAUUUGGUCAAAACUAGAUGAGUUUACUAAGAAGCAGGUCCGUGCGAGGAAGAAAAUGGAAGAAGAUCAUGUUAAAUUAGCAGCACUCGUCGCGGAGCUAGAGGAGCCAGUAGGUCUUUGUGACUUGCCAGCAAUUGACCCUCCUAAUGCUAAGAGAAAGAAGGGAAGGGCAAUAAAGAAUUUUUCUGAGUGGAUAGAGAAAGCGCCCACAGUGAAUUGGUCUUUUCUGCAUGACACACAUGGAGCUAGGUAUGGCCACAUGACAACCAAUCUUGCAGAGGUGUAUAACUUUGUGCUGAGAGGGAAUAGAGCAUUGCCACAGCUAUUGUGGAGGCUGUAUUCCAUGGCACUUUGAGAUAUUUCAGAGAAAGGCACGAGUUAGCAAAGAAGCAUAUUGAAGAUAAUCAGAACACACCUUAUUGUAGCCAUGUCAUGGAAUACAUGGCAAAGAAGAUAGAUAAAGCAAAGAAGCACACUGUGAGACUCAUAGGGAAUGAAGAAAGGAGGCAUGAGGUUCAACUUCCUACCAAUGGUUUUGGUUCUGGACAUGAGGUGAAGACACACGAGGUAAAAAUUGGAACGGAAUUUUAUCCAACGUGUGAGUGUACUUGCAACAAACCGAAGUUGUUGCACCUACCUUGCUCUCACGUGUUGACUGCCUGUGGCCAAAUUGAGUUGGAUGCUAUCUCCUUCGUGUCCCCAUACUAUUUAAAAGAGGCAGUGCUCAACACAUGGAUAGGUGAGAUGACAGGGUUUAGAGUCGUCGGCAAUUUCAACAAGGUAAACGACGGUGAGAGAGUAUACAUCCCGCAUCCAGACCUUCGGCGAACAAGUAGGGGCAGACGAAAGGCCCGUCGCAUACGAAAUGAUAUGGACCAAUCUGAAGCUGGUGGAGCAACCAGACAAUGUUUGUUAUGCGCGGCUUAUGGGCAUAGGAUGAAAUAUUGUCCCGACCUGAACAAAGAUGGUGCUUCCGCAUCGACGAGUGCUUCCACAUCAACGGCUGCGACAACAGGAGCAAGAGGCGGACGUGGUCGUGGCAGUCGAGGCCGAAGGGGCGGACGAGGAAGAAAUAACUCACAAGCUAUAUAAUGUGUCGUACUGUGUUUCAAUAUGUAAUAAGUCAGGACUAUGUUUUAAUUUGUAAUAUGUCAGGACUAUGUUUUAAUUUGUAAUAUGUCAGGACUAAGUUUUAAUUUAUAAUAUGCCAGGACUAUGUUUUAAUUUGUAAUAUGUCAGAACUAUGUUUAAUUUGUAGUAUGACGUACUACGUUUUAAUUUGUAAUAUGUUUGUACUAUGUUUUAUUUGCACCUGAGAUUUGUUGUUUGAAUUGCAGAUAUGUCUUCGUAUCCGUUGCUUAAUGGUAACAUCGAUAGAAAGCACCGGGGCGCCCUUAUGGAAGCGGGCAACAACUUAGACGUGUUGGUCACUCGUACCCCAAAGACUAACUGGAUGAUACACGAGUCAUGGGUUGAUAGGUUAGUGUGCAUAUAAUGGAAUCCAUAUAAUGACUUAUUAUGUUUGUCAUAAUUUUCAUAGCCGCUAACAAACUCUUUAUUUUGUAGGUUAAAUUGGCUGGACUUCUACCCUUGGCACGACUGGUUGAGGGCAUUGGAUGAGUGGGUUGAUGGUCCGGACUUAGAUGAGGCAGGUGAACCAUUGCAGUUACACAAGAGGCAAGUGAAACGUUUCUCUUACAACAAGUCACUCCUUACCUGCUUAGUAGAUAGAUGGAGACCAGAGGUACAUACGUUUCACUUUCCUUGGGGAGAGAUGGCACCGACUUUACAAGAUGUGUCUUACUUGUUGGGAUUACCUCUGGCUGGUGCUGCCAUAGGUCCCUUAGAGGCAGAAUCUGGUUGGCAAACAGUGAUGUAGACCCGUUUUUUGGCUGCGGUGCCGACUGCUAGGGCCAUAGACAACGAUCCUCACGGGCCUCUUUUUAGAUGGUUGAGCCAGUUUCAGGUAACCUUCACGGCCACUUAAACAAAUGGUAUUUUUUUAGUUCCCUGCUACCUCUUGAGCACCGCGUUGGAUUUCCCCGAAGAGGAGAGGAUGAUGCAGCAAAGUAGUGUAAGUAUUUCCCUCAGUUUUUGAGAACCAAGGUAUCAAUCCAGUAGGAGGCUACGCUCAAGUCCCUCGUACCUGCACAAAACAAUAGCUCAACGCAACCAACGCGAUUAGGGGUUGUCAAUCCCUUCACGGUCACUUACGGGAGUGAGAUCUGAUAGAGAUGAUAGAUAAUAUAUUUGGUAUUUUUGGUAUAGAGAUGACAAGUGAAAAGUAAAAGGCAAAGUAAAAAAGCAAAGCAAGAUUAAAGUGAUGGAGAUUGAUAUGAUGAGAAUAGACCCGGGGGCCAUAGGUUUCACUAGUGGCUUCUCUCAAGAGCAUAAGUAUUCUACGGUGGGUGAACAAAUUACUGUUGAGCAAUUGACAGAAUUGAGCAUAGUUAUGAGAAUAUCUAGGUAUGAUCAUGUAUAUAGGCAUCACGUCCGAAACAAGUAUACCGACUCCUGCCUACAUCUACUACUAUUACUCCACUCAUCGAACGCUAUCCAGCAUGCAUCUAGAGUAUUAAGUUAAAAACGGAGUAACUCCUUAAGCAAGAUGACAUGAUGUAGAGGGAUAGUUUCAUGCAAUAUGAUAAAAACCCCAUCUUGUUAUCCUCGAUGGCAACAAUACAAUACGUGCCUUGCUGCCCCUUCUGUCACUGGGAAAGGACACCGCAAGAUUGAACCCAAAGCUAAGCACUUCUCCCAUGGCAAGAAAAACCAACCUAGUAGGCCAAACCAAACUGAUAAUUCGAAGAGACUUGCAAAGAUAACCAAUCAUACAUAAAAGAAUUUAGAGAAGAUUCAAAUAUUAUUCAUAGAUAGACUUGAUUAUAAACCCACAAUUCAUUGGUCUCAACAAACACACCACAAAAAUAAGAUUACAUCAAAUAGAUCUCCACGAGAGAGGGGGAGAACAUUGCAUUGAGAUCCAAAAAGAGAGAAGAAGCCAUCUAGCUAAUAACUAUGGACCCAUAGGUCUGAGGUGAACUACUCACACUUCAUCGAAGGGGCUAGGAUGAUGUAGAAGCCCUCCGUGAUGACGGCCCUCUCCGGCGGAGCUCCGGAACAGGCCCCAAGAUGGGAUCUUGUGGGUACAGAAGGUUGCGGCGGUGGAAUUAGGAUUUUGGCUCCUUAUCUGAUCGUUUGGGGGUACGUAGGUAUAUAUAGGAGGAAGAAGUACGUCGGUGGAGCUCCGAGGGGCCCACGAGGCAGGGGAGCGCGCCCUAGGGGGGUGGGCGCGCCCCCACCCUCGUGACCGCCUCGUGGCUUUCUUGACGGAGGGUCCAAGUAUUCUGGGUCUUAUCUGAUGAGAAAAUCACGUUCCCGAAGGUUUCAUUCCGUUUGGACUUCGUUUUAUAUUCUGUUUCCCCGAAACUCUGAAAUAGGCAAAAAACAGCAAUUCUGGGCUAGGCCUCCGGUUAAUAGGUUAGUCCCAAAAAUAAUGUAAAAGUGGAAAAUAAAGCCCAAUAUAGUCCAAAACAGUAGAUAAUAUACCAUGGAGCAAUAAAAAAUUAUAGAUACGUUGGAGACGUAUCACGCAUCCCCAAGCUUAAUUCCUGCUCGUCCUCGAGUAGGUAAAUGAUAAAAAGAGAAUUUUUGAUGCGGAUUGCUACUUGGCAUAAUUUCAAUGCAAAUCUUCUUAAUUGUGGUAUGAAUAUUCAGAUCCAAAAGAUUCAAGACAAAAGUUCAUAUUGACAUAAAAAUUAAUAAUACUUCAAGCAUACUAACAAAGCAAUUAUGUCUUCUCAAAAUAACAUGGCUAAAGAAAGUUAUCCCUACAAAAUCAUAUAGUCUGGCUAUGCUCCAUCUUCACCACACAAAUUAUUUAAAUCAUGCACAACCCCGAUGACAAGCCAAGCAAUUGUUUCAUACUUUAACAUUUUCAAAACUUUUUCAAUCUUCACGCAAUACAUGAGCGUGAGCCAUGGAUAUAUAUCACUAUAUAUGGAAUAGAAUGGUGGUUGUGGAGAAGACAAAAAGAGGGGAAGAUAGUCUCACAUCAACUAGGCAUACCAAUGGGCUAUGGAGAUGCCCAUCAAUAGAUAUUAAUGUGAGUGAGUAGGGAUUGCCAUGCAACGGAUGCACUAGAGCUAUAAGUAUGUGAAAGCUCAACAAAAGAAACUAAGUGGGUGUGCAUCCAACUCGCUUGCUCACAAAGACCUAGGGCUUUUGAGGAAGCCCAUCAUUGGAAUAUACAAGCCAAGUUCUAUAAUGAAAAAUUCUCACUAGUAUAUGAAAGUGACAAGCAUGCUGGCACGCCCCGCCAUGGGCCAAGCACGACACGAGCUAAACAAGCCGUUCCCGACACGCCUUGGGUCAUGCCUAGGCCUAGAGGCGAGGCACGCAGGCCGGCACGGCACGACCCGUUUAUAGGAAAAAUACAUCCUACUACCCGGUGUAGUUACACCCAUGCAGGGACGGAGCCAGGAUUUCGACAUAGGGGGGGCGAGGUUUCACACUAAGUUUCAUGGGCAAUUGCUAUGUUGUAGAAAAUUACGGUCUGGUCCAAUGGAGACGCCAUGUGCAACCAUGCCUAUUUUAUUUAUUAAAUUCAGAUGUAACUUUUUGAGUAGAUGAUUUUUCAUAUAAAAAACUUUUUAAUCCGAGUUCGUAUGCAAAAGUUAUGCCCAUUUUACAAAUUCCACAGAGAUUUUGCAAAUAAAGUUGAAAUUCAUAUUUGUAAAUUUUCCCAACAAGUAGACCACAUAUCACAUGGGAAACUUAUUUUCUUUUAUUUUUUUGAAAUUUCCAUCAUUUUCUUUUAUUUUUUUAACUGAAAAGGCGGUCCACAGGGGGGAGGGCGGGUACAUUCGGUGGAAUUUUUCGACCAAGUUACUAAUGGUGUACCGUGGGAGUGGUGUGCCAUUACUAGUUCAACUAGUAAUGGCGCACCACACACACGGUGCGCCAUUAGUAUUUUUGAAAAAGAAAAAAAUUCCUUAGCCCACACAUGGUGCACCAUUGAUUAGAAUUCUAGUAUCAAUCAAUUCCUUAGCAACAGCAAACACUGAAAUUGUAACCGUAAUACUCUUAAUAGUCAGUCGUUAACCAUCCGAAAUGAGGGACACUCAAAUUCAAGCACCAAUGUAAUCUGAAGCGCCAAUCCAAGUUCGAGAGCAGGGCAGAUUUGCAACAGUUGAGGUAGAAGUGGUGGGCUCAGAUUAGCCUCAACAGUUGAGGUAGUACUAAAGAUACACAUACUCGAAUCCAAAAGGGGGGGCGCUAGAAGUGGUGGGGGGAGGAAGAUACCUGGAGGGGCGACUCUGGUAGCGGGUGGUGCCGGGCGAGGUGACCGGGGGGACGGACGAAGAGCAGGGGUGGCUGGACGGCUGGACGACGGGGCGGUCGGCGAAACCGCUGCGUGACGACGACGCGGAUGGGGCGACGGAGGCGGUUGGGCUCGUAGGCGGAGUUCGAUCUGGGUGGUGGCGAGGUGGAGAUUGCGGAGCAGCCGGGUGGCGGUGGCUGGCAAAGGAGAGACGAGUGAGGGGAGGGAAUGAAAGAAGGGGAAGGAAGGAGCUCAGCACCGCGGAUUGGGCCGAAAAACCUCUCUUCUCUCCGUCCUAGGCCUGGCACCGUGAAGCCCAAUAAGCCCAGAAGAACGCGUCAUUCAUUUCUUCUUUAAGAGAAAAAAAAUCAGGACCUCCUAUUGGGCGCCUGGGGCGCUAGCGAACAUGCCAGCGCGCACAAGAGGGGUUCUUCGCCCCAGUCUUUUAUUCCCUAUUUUUGUUUUUUUAUUAUUUUCCUGUUUUUUCUUCUUUAAAACAAUUAUGUAUAUCAAAAAAGUUCAAAAUUUAAGGAAGGAACUGAAUCUGGGGAAAAUGUUCCAGAAAUCAAUCAUGGUUUUUAAUUCAACAUUUUGAAAAAAAUGUUCGUGAAUUCAAAAUUGUUCAUAAAUUUAAAAAUAAUUUUAGAUAAUUCAAAAUCUGGUGAACACUUUUUGAAGUCGGUGAACAAAAAUUGUAUUCAACAACAUUGUAUUUUGAAAAAUGGAAGAAUUUUUUUGGAAUUAAAUUAACGUUUUUUUGAUAAAUCAAUGAACAAUAUCUGGAUUUGAUAAACAUUUUUUGAAAAAAGAUGAACAAAUUUCGGAUUUGAUAAACAUUUUUUUAUUUUGAUGAAUUAUUUUUUGUAUUUGAUGAAAAAAAUUAAAUUCGAUAAACAUUUUUUACAUUGUUGAAGGAAGGUUCUAGAACCUUUCCAAAAUCGGUUAGUGGUGAAUCCCAAAAAUGGGCCGGCCCAUAGAAAUUCCAGCGCGCGUGGUGGGUCCGUGUAUAGCUAGCCAAACGGGCUGGGCCAAUCAGGCCAGCCCACGAGCAUGCUGGCACGCCCCGCCAUGGGCCAAGCACGACACGUGCUAAACAGGCCGUUCCCGACACGCCUUGGGUCAUGCCUGGGCCUAGAGGCGGGGCAUGCAGGCCGGCACGACACGGCCCGUUUAUAGGAAAAAUACAUCCUACUUCCCGGUGAGUUACACCCACGCAGGGACGGAGCCAGGAUUUUGGCAUAGGGGGGCGAGGUUUCACACUAAGUUUCAUGGGCAACUGCUAUGUUGUAGAAAAUUUAGGGUCUGGUCCAAUGUAUACACCAUGUGCAACCAUGCCUGUUUUAUUUAUUAAAUUCAGAUGUAACUUUUCGAGUAGAUGAUUUUUCAUAUAAAAAACUUUUUAAUCCGAGUUCGUAUGCAAAAGUUAUGCCCAUUUUACAAAUUCCGAAAAGAUUUUGCAAAUAAAGUUGAAAUUCAUAUUUGUAAAUUUCCCAACAAGUAGACCACACAUCACAUGGGAAACUUAUUUUCUUUUAUUUUUUGACAUUUCCAUCAUUUUCUUUUCUUUUUUUAACUGAAAAGGCGGUCCACGGGGGUGGGGGUGCAUUCGGUGGAAUUUUUGAGCCAAGUUACUAAUGGCGCACCGUGGGAGUGGUGCGCCAUUAGUAGUUUUGAAAAAAAAAAUCUUAGCCCACACACGGUGCGCCAUUGAUUAGAAUUGUAGUAUCAAUCAAUUCCUUAGCAACAACAAACACUGAAAUUGCAACCGUAAUACUCUUAAUAGUCAGUCGUUAACCAUCCGAAAUGAGGGACACUCAAAUUCAAGCACCAAUGUAACCUGAAGCGCCGGUCCAAGUUCGAGAGCAAGGCAGAUUUGCAACAGUUGAGGUAGAAGUGGUGGGCUCAGAUUAGCCUCAACAGUUGAGGUAGUACUAAAGAUACGCAUACUGGAAUCCAAAAGGGGGGGGCGCUAGAAGUGGUGGGGGGAGGAAGAUACCUGGAGGGGCGACUCUGGUGGCGGGUGGUGCCGGGCGAGGUGACCGGGGGGACGGAUGAAGAGCAGGGGUGGCUGGACGCGCUGGAUGACGGGGCGGUCGGCGAAACCCGCUGUGCGACGACGACGCGGAUGGGGCGGCGGAGGCGGUUGGGCUCGUCGGCGGAGUUCGAUCUAGGCGGUGGCGAGGUGGAGGUUGCAUAGGAGCCGGGUGGCGGCGGCGGCUGGCAAAGGAGAGACGAGUGAGGGGAGGGAAUGAAAGAAGGGGAAGGAAGGAGCUCGGCACCGCGGAUUGGGCCGAAAAACCUCCCUUCUCUUCGUCCUAGGCCUGGCACCGUGAAGCCCAAUAAGUGUUGGAAAUAUGCCCUAGAGGCAAUGAUAAAAGGAUUAUUUUUAUAUUUCCUUGUUCAUGAUAAUUGUCUUUUAUUCAUGCUAUAAUUGUAUUAUCCGGAAAUCGUAAUACACGUGUGAAUACUUAGACCAUAACAUGUCCCUAGUAAGCCUCUAGUUGACUAGCUCGUUGAUCAACAGAUAGUCAUGGUUUCCUGACUAUGGACAUUGGAUGUCAUUUAUAACGGGAUCACAUCAUUAGGAGAAUGAUGUGAUGGACAAGACCCAAUCCUAAGCAUAGCACAAAGAUCGUGUAGUUCGUUUGCUAGAGCUUCUCCAAUGUCAAGUAUCUUUUCCUUAGACCAUGAGAUCGUGUAACUCCCGGAUACCGUAGGAGUGCUUUGGGUGUACCAAAUGUCACAACGUAACUGGGUGACUAUAAAGGUGCAAUACAGGUAUCUCCGAAAGUGUCUGUUGGGUUGACACAGAUCGAGACUGGGAUUUGUCACUCCGUAUGACGGAGAGGUAUCUCUGGGCCCACUCGGUAAUGCAUCAUCAUAAUGGGCUCAAAGUGACCAAGUGUCUGGUCACGGGAUCAUGCAUUACGGUAUGAGUAAAAGUGACUUGCCGGUAACGAGAUUGAACGAGGUAUUGGGAUACCAUGAUCGAAUCUCGGGCAAGUAACGUACCGAUUGACAAAGGGAAUUGUAUACGGGGUUGCUUAAAUCCUCGACAUCGUGGUUCAUCCGAUGAGAUCAUCGAGGAGUAUGUGGGAGCCAAUAUGGGUAUCCAGAUCCCGCUGUUGGUUAUUGACCGGAGAGCCGUCUCGGUCAUGUCUGCAUGUCUCCCGAACCCGUAGGGUCUACACACUUAAGGUUCGGUGAUGCUAGGGUUGUAUGAAUAUGAGUAUGCAGCAAACCUAAAGUUGUUCGGAGUCUCGGAUGAGAUCUUGGACGUCACGAGGAGUUCCGGAAUGGUCUGGAGGUAAAGAAUUAUAUAUUGGAAGUCGAGUUUCGGCCAUCGGAAAGUUUCGGGGUCCACCGGUAUUGUACCGGGACCACCGGAAGGGUCCCGGGGGUCCACCGGGUGGGGCCACCUAUCCCGGAGGGUCCCAUGGGCUGAAGUGGGAGGGGAACCAGCCCCUAGUGGGCUGGUGCGCCCCCCUGGGCCCCCUCUGCGCCUAGGGUUGGGAACCCUAGGGGAGGGGGCGCCUCCACUUGCCUUGGGGGGCACUCCACCCCCGUUGGUCGCCUCCCCCCUAGAGAUCCCAUCUCUAGGGCCGGCGCCCCCCCUGGGGUCCCUAUAUAAAGAGGGGGGGUGGGAGGGCAGCCGCACCCAACACCCUGGUGCCUCCCUCCCCUCCCUGCUACACCUCUCCCUCCCGUAGUUGCUUGGCGAAGCCCUGCCGGAGCCCUGCUGCAUCCACCACCACGCCGUCAUGCUGCUGAAUCUUCAUCAACCUCUUCUUCCCCCUUGCUGGAUCAAGAAGGAGGAGACGUCACGCUGACCGUACGUGUGUUGAACGCGGAGGUGCCGUCCGUUCGGCGCUAGGAUCUCCGAUGAUUUGGAUCACAACGAGAACGACUCCCUCAACCCCGUUCUCUUGAACGCUUCCGCACGCGAUCUACAAGGGUAUGUAGAUGCAUCUCUCUCUCUCGUUGCUAGAUGAACUCAUAGGUUGAUCUUGGUGAACGUAGAUUUAUUUUAUUUUAUGCAACGUUCCCCAACAGUGGUAUCAGAGCCAGGUCUAUGCGUAGUUCUCUAUUGCACGAGUAGAACACAAACCUGUUGUGGGCGUAGAUCUUGUCAACCUGCUUGCCACUACUAGUCUUAUUUUGCUUCAGCGGUAUUGAGGGAUGAAGCGGCCCGGACCGACCUUACACGUACGCUUACGUGAGACAGGUUCCACCGACUGACAUGCACUAGUUGCAUGAGGUGGCUAGCGGGUGUCUGUCUCUCCCACUUUAGUUGGAGCGGAUUCGAUGAAAAGGGUCCUUAUGAAGGGUAAAUAGAAUUUGACAAAAAAUCACGUUGUGGUUAUUCGUAGGUAAGAAAAUGUUCUUGCUAGAACCCAAUUGCAGCCACGUAAAAGAUGCAACAACAAUUAGAGGACGUCUAACUUGUUUUUGCAGCAAUUGCUAUGUGAUGUGAUAUGGCCAAAAGUUGUGAUGAAUGAUGAAUGAUAUAUUGUGAUGUAUGAGAUCAUGUUCUUGUAAUAGGAAUCACGACUUACAUGUUGAUGAGUAUGACAACCGGCAGGAGCCAUAGGAGUUGUCUUAAUUAUUGUAUGACCUGCGUGUCAAUGAUUUAACGCCAUGUAAUUACUUUAAUUUAUUGCUAAACCGUUAGCCAUAGUAGUAGAAGUAAUAGUUGGCGAGCAACUUCAUGGAGACACGAUGAUGGAGAUCAUGAUGAUGGAGAUCAUGAUGAUGGAGAUCAUGAUGAUGGAGAUCAUGGUGUCAUGCCGGUGACGAAGAUGAUCAUGGAGCCCCGAAAAUGGAGAUCAAAGGAGCUAUAUGAUAUUGGCCAUAUCAUGUCACUACUAUAUAAUUGCAUGUGAUGUUUAUUAUGUUUAUGCAUCUUGUUUACUUAGAACGAUGGUAGUAAAUAAAAUGAUCCCUUAUAAUAAUUUCAAGAAGGUGUUCCCCCUAACUGUGCGCCGUUGCUAAAGUUCGUCGUUUCGAAGCACCACGUGAUGAUUGGGUGUGAUAGAUCCUUACGUUCACAUACAAUGGGUGUAAGACAGUUUUACACAUGCAAAACACUUAGGGUUAACUUGACGAGCCUAGAAUGUACAGACAUGGCCUCGAAACACAGAGACCGAAAGGUCGAACAUGAGUCGUAUGGAAGAUACGAUCAACAUGGAGAUGUUCACCGAUGAUGACUAGUCCGUCUCACGUGAUGAUCGGACACGACCUAGUCGACUCGGAUCAUGUAACACUUAGAUGACUAGAGGGAUGUCAAAUCUGAGUGGGAGUUCAUUAAAUAAUUUGAUUAGAUGAACUUAAUUAUCAUGAACUUAGUCUAAAAUCUUUGCAAAAUAUGUCUUGUAGAUCAAAUGGCCAACGCUCAUGUCAACAUGAACUUCAACGCGUUCCUAGAGAAAACCAAGCUGAAAGAUGAUGGUAGCAACUAUACGGACUGGGUCCAGAACCUAAGGAUCAUCCUCAUAGCUGCCAAGAAAGUAUAUGUCCUAGAAGGACCGCUAGGUGAAGCACCCAUCCCAGAGAACCAAGACGUUAUGAACGCUUGGCAGUCAUGUGCUAAUGAUUACUCCCUCGUUCAGUGCGGCAUGCUUUACAGCUUAGAACCGGGGCUCCAAAAGCGUUUUGAGCAACACGGAGCAUAUGAGAUGUUCGAGGAGCUGAAAAUGGUUUUCCAAGCUCAUGCCCGGGUCGAGAGAUAUGAGGUCUCCGACAAGUUCUAUAGUUGUAAGAUGGAGGGAAAUAGUUCUGUCAGUGAGCACAUACUCAAAAUGUCUGGGUUGCACAACCGCCUGUCCCAGCUGGACAUUAACCUCCCGGACAAGGCGGUCAUUGACAGAAUCCUUCAGUCGCUCCCGCCAAGCUACAAGAGUUUUGUGAUGAACUACAAUAUGCAGGGGAUGGUGAAAACUAUUCCUGAAGUAUUUUCAAUGAUGAAGUCAGCAGAGGUAGAAAUCAAGAAGGGUAUGUAGAUGCAUCUCUCUCUCUCGUUGCUAGAUGAACUCAUAGAUUGAUCUUGGUGAACGUAGAAUUUUUUUUAUUUUAUGCAACGUUCCCCAACAAUAAGCCCAGAAGAACGCGUCAUUCAUUUCUUCUUUAAGAGAAAAAAAAAUUGGGACCUCCUACUGGGCGCCUGGGGCGCUGGCGAACAUGCCAGCGCGCACAAGCGGGGUUCUUCGCACCAGUCUUUUUAUUCCGUAUUUUUGUUUUUUUAUUAUUUUCUCGUUUUUUCUUCUUUAAAACAAUUAUGUAUAUCAAAAAAGUUCAAAAUUUAAGGAAAGAACUGAAUCUGGGGAAAAUGUUCCAGAAAUCAUAACAUGUUCAUGGUUUUUGAUUCAACAUUUUGAAAAAAAUGUUCAUGUGUUUAAAAAAUGUUCGUGAAUUCAAAAUUGUUCAUAAAUUUAAAAACAAUUUUAGAUAAUUCAAAAUCUGGUUAACACUUUUUGAAGUCGGUGAACAAAAAUUGUAUUCAACAACAUUGUAUUUUGAAAAAUGGAAGAAAUUUUUUGGAAUUAAAUUAACGUUUUUUGAUAAAUCAAUGAACAAUAUCUGGAUUUGAUAAACAUUUUUUGAAAAAAGAUGAACAAAUUUCGAAUUUGAUAAACAUUUUUUCAUUUUGAUGAAUUGUUUUUUGUAUUUGAUGAAAAAAAUUAAAUUCGAUAAACAUUUUUUACAUUGUUGAAGGAAGGUUCUAGAACCUUCCCAAAAUCGGUUAGUGGUGAAUCCCAAAAAUGGGCCGGCCCAUAGAAAUUCUAGCGCGCGUGGUGGGUCCAUGUAUAGCUAGCCAAACGGGUUGGGCCAAUCAGGCCAGCCCAUGAGCAUGCUGUCACGCCCCGCCAUGGGCCAAGCACGACACGGGCUAAACAGGUCGUUCCCGACACGCCUUAGGUCAUGCCUGGGCCUAGAGGCGGGGCACGCAGGCCGGCACGACACAACCCGUUUAUAGGAAAAAUACAUCCUACUACCCGGUGUAGUUACACCCACGCAGGGACGGAGCUAGGAUUUUGCCAUAGGGGGGGCGAGGUUUCACACUAAGUUUCAUGGGCAACUGAUAUGUUGUAGAAAAUUUAGGGUCUGGUCUAAUGGAGACGCCAUGUGCAACCAUGCCUGUUUUAUUUAUUAAAUUCAGAUAUAACUUUUCGAGUAGAUGAUUUUUCAUAUAAAAAACUUUUUAAUCCGAGUUCGUAUGCAAAAGUUAUGCCCAUUUUACAAAUUCCAGAAAGAUUUUGCAAAUAAAGUUGAAAUUCAUAUUUGUAAAUUUUCCCAACAAGUAGACCACAUAUCACAUGGGAAACUUAUUUUCUUUUAUUUUUUCUGAAAUUUCCAUCAUUUUCUUUUAUUUUUUAACUGAAAAGGCGGUCCACGGGGGUGGGGGUGCAUUUGGUGGAAUUUUUGGGCCGAGUUACUAAUGGCGCACCAUGGGAGUGGUGCGCCAUUACUAGUUCAACUAGUAAUGGCGCACCACACACACGGUGCGCCAUUAGUAGUUUUGAAGAAAAAAAUUCUUUAGCCCACACACGGUGCGUCAUUGAUUAGAAUUGUAGUAUCAAUCAAUUCCUUAGCAACAACAAACACUGAAAUUGCAACCGUAAUACUCUUAAUAAUCAGUCGUUAACAUUUUUUGAAAAUAAAAAAAUGUUUAUCAAAUUCGAAAUUUGUUCAUCUUUUUUCAAAAAAUGUUUACCAAUUUCAAAAAAUGUUAACGACUGACUAUUAAGAGUAUUACGGUUGCAAUUUCAGUGUUUGUUGUUGCUAAGGAAUUGAUUGAUACUAGAAUUCUAAUCAAUGGCGCAUCGUGUGUGGGCUAAGGAUUUUUUUUCAAAACUACUAAUGACGCACCGUGUGUGUGGUGCGCCAUUACUAGUUGAACUAGUAAUGGCACACCACUCCCACGGUGCGCCAUUAGUAACUUGGCCCAAAAAUUCCACCGAAUGCACCCCCCUGGACCGCCUUUUCAGUUUUAAAAAAAUAAAAGAAAAUGAUGUAAAUGUUAAAAAAAUAAAAGAAAAUAAGUUUCCAUGUGAUAUGUGGUCUACUUGUUGGGAAAAUUUACAAAUAUGAAUUUCAACUUUAUUUGCAAAAUCUCUCUGGAAUUUGUAAAAUGGGCAUAACUUUUGCAUACGAACUCGGAUUAAAAAGUUUUUUAUAUGAAAAAUCAUCUACUCGAAAAGUUACAUAUGAAUUUUAUAAACAAAAAAGGCAUGGUUGCGUCUUCAUUGGACCAGGCAUAAAUUUUCUACAACAUAGCAGUUGCCCAUGAAACUUAGUGUGAAACCUCGCCCCCCUAUGUCAAAAUCCUGGCUCCGUCCCUGCGUGGGUGUAACUACACCGGGUAGUAGGAUGUAUUUUUCCUAUAAACGGGUCGUUCCUUGCCGGCCUGCGUGCCCCGCCUCUAGGCCCAGGCAUGACCCAAGGCGUGCCGGGAACGGCCUGUUUAGCCCGUGUCGUGCUUGGCCCAUGGCAGGGCGUGCCAGCAUGCUCGUGGGCUGGCCUGAUUGGCCCAACCCGUUUGGCUAGCUAUACACGGACCCACCACGCGCGCUGGAAUUUCUAUGGGCCGGCCCAUUUUUGGGAUUCACCACUAACCGAUUUUGGGAAGGUUCUAGAACCUUCCUUCAACAAUGUAAAAAAUGUUUAUCGAAUUUAAUUUUUUUCAUCAAAUACAAAAAACAAUUCAUCAAAAUAAAAAAAUGUUUAUCAAAUUUGAAAUUUGUUCAUCGUUUUUCAAAAAAUGUUUAUCAACUCCAGAUAUUGUUCAUUUAUUUAUCAAAAAACAUUAAUUUAUUCCAAAAAAAUUCUUCCAUUUUUCAAAAUACAAUGUUGUUGAAUACAAUUUUUGUUCACCGACUUCAAAAAGUGUUCACCAGAUUUUGAAUUAUCUAAAAUUGUUUUUAAAUUUAUGAAUAAUUUUGAAUUCACGAACAUUUUUUAAACAUGUGAACAUUUUUUUUCAAAAUGUUGAAUUAAAAAGAAAAAAUUUUGAACAUUUUUUAUAUACAUAAUUGUUUUCAAAAAGAAAAAACAGGAAAAUAAUAAAAAAACAAAAAUACGGAAUAAAAAGACUGGGGCGAAGAACCCCGCUUGUGCGCGCUGGCAUGUUCGCAAGUGCCCCAGGCGCCCAAUAGGAGGUCCCGAUUUUUUUUCUCUUAAAGAAGAAAUGAAUGACGUGUUCUUCUGGGCUUAUUGGGCUUCACGGUGCUAGGCCUAGGACGAAGAGAAGAGAGGUUUCCUUCCUUCCCCUUCUUUCAUUCCCUUCCCUCGCUCAUCUCUCCUUUGCCAGCCGCCGCCGCCGCCGCUCGGCUCCUCCGCAACCUCCACCUCGCCAUCGCCCAGAUCGAACUCCGCCGACGAGCCCAACCGCCUCCGCCGCCCCAUCCGCGCCGUUGUCGCGCAGCGGGUUUCGCCGACCGCCCCGUCGUCCAGCGCGUCCAGCCACCCCUGCUCUUCGUCCGUCCCCUCGGUCACCUCGCCCGGCACCACCCGCCACCAGAGUCGCCCUUCCAGGUAUCUUCCUCCCCCCACCACUUCUAGCGCCCCCUUUGGAUUCUAGUAUGCGUAUCUUUAGUACUACCUCAACUGUUGAGGCUAAUCUGAGCCCACCACUUCUACCUCAAAUGGGCAUAACUUUUGCAUACGAAGUCGGAUCAAAAAGUUUUUUAUAUGAAAAAUCAUCUACUCGAAAAGUUACAUCUGAAUUAAAUGGGGGAACCUUGUUAAACAUUUUCAAAAUCCCCAAAAACCUAGCAGAAAAAAGUUACGGGGCUUUCAAGAUCUAGAGGCAAAAAAAUUCAAAAAAUUUCAAACUUACUAGUGGCGCACUGUUUGCUAGAUGCGCCACUAGUAACAGAAAAAAAUUAGUUUCAAAAAGAAAUUCGAUUUUUUUUUCAAAAUAUGAUACGUAAUAUGACCGGGAAGUUUGAAAUAUUUUUUCAAAAUUUCAUCAUACUCAUGAACAUGAACAAAGACCUAGACAUCAACAAGGUUUAAUAGGAUUGAUAUGAUAGAUAUAUCAACAAGUGCUUGUGAAGUGAGCUGGUGCUGGGGUUGGAUAGAACUGUGAAGUUAAGCAUGCUCGGGCUGGAGUAGUGUGAGGAUGGGUGACCUUCCGGAAAAUUUGACCACAAAGUGCGAUUUGACUUGAGAUUAAGCAUAUUAACCUGAGAUUAAGCCAUAAUGACCAGAGAUUAAGAAAAAAACGAAAUAAAAAAUUGAAAAAAAAUUGAAAAAAAAUUCUAAAAAAAAUGUUACUAAUGGCGCACUUCUAUGUGGUGCACCAUUAGUAUACCAGAUACUAGUGCGCCACUAGCAGUCCUUUUUCUAGUAGUGUGUUUUUUAUUCCGUAUGAACUAUACCUGUAUGGGAUGUUUUUAAUGAAAAAGGGUGCUUGCCGGGUUCUUUGUGUGUGAGCGCGGACCAUGCCAAGGAAUGAAUCCAUCUUAUUUUUAAGGUAAACACUGUCGCCCGGCAACAGGCCUUGCCGUCCCUUUACUUCAGCCGACCAUCCUCGCGCUCAUGGCGGAGGUAGGUGAUACAUCUCCGUUAUUCUACAACUUUCGCAUAAUUUUGAUUGUUCCAUGCCAAUAUUCUACAACUUUCACAUACUUUUGGCAACCUUUUAUACUAUUUUUGGGACUAAAAUAUUGAUCCAGUGCGCAGUGUCAGUUCCUGUUUGUUGGAUGUUUUAUGUUUCGCAGAAACCCCAUAUCAAAUGGAAUCCAAAUGGAAUAAAACGGUCGGAGAAUAUUUUUGGAAUAUUUGGAGAAUAUGGGAAGAAGAAUCAACAUGAGACGGUGCCCGAGGUGGCCACGAGGCAGGGGGCGCACCCGCCCCCCUGGGCGCGCCCCUGACCCUGGUGGGCCACCUGUAAGGCGGUUGCUGCUCUUCUUCGACCGCAAGUAAGCUAAUUUUCGGAGAAAAAAUCUGGGAAAAGGUUUCAAUCCAAUCAGAGUCACGGAUCUCCAUAUAUAUACGAAACAGUGAAAGGGCAGAGCACGGGAACGCAGAAACAGAGAGAAACAGAGAGACAGAUCCAAUCUCGGAGGGGCUCUCGCCCCUCCCAUGCCAUGGAGGCCAAGGACCAUAGGGGAAACCCUUCUCGCAUCUAGGGAGGAGGUCAAGGAAGAAGAAGAAGAAGGGGGCCCCUCUCCCCCACUCUUUUGGUGGUGCCGGAACGCUGCCGUCGCCACCAUCAUCAUCACCGCGAUCUUCACCAACACCUCCGCCAUCUUCACCAAUAUCUCCAUCACCUUCCCCCCUCUAUCUACAGCGGUCCACUCUCCCGCAACCCGUUGUACCCUCUACUUGAACAUGGUGCUUUAUGCUUCAUAUUAUUAUCCAAUGAUGUGUUGCCAUCCUAUGAUGUCUGAGUAGAUUUUCGUUAUCCUAUUGGUGGUUGAUGAAUUGCUAUGAUUGAUUUAAUUUGCUUGUGGUUAUGUUUAUGUCCUUUGGUGCCCAUCAUAUGAGAGCGCGCGUGGAUCACACCAUAAGGUUAGCUGUAUGUUGAUAGGACUAUGUAUUGGAGGGCAAGAGUGACAGAAGCUUCUACCUAGCAUAGAAAUUGAUGCAUACGAGAUUGAAGGGGGGCCAAUAUAUCUUAAUGCUAUGGUUGGGUUUUACCUUAAUGAACGUUAGUAUUUGCGGAUUCUUGCUAAUAGUUCCAAUCAUAAGUGCAUAGAAUUCCAAGUCAGGGAUGACAUGCUAGCAGUGGCCUCUCCCACAUAAAACUUGCUAUCGGUCUAGUAAAGUAGUCAAUUGCUUAGGGACAAUUUCGCAACUCUUACCACCACUUCUCCACACUCGCUAUAUUUACUUUAUUGAGUCUUUAUCUAAACAGCCCCUAGCUUUUAUUUACGUGCUCUUUAUUUUCUUGCAAACCUAUACAAAAACACCCACAAAGUACUUCUAGUUUCAUACUUGUUUUAGGUAAAGCGAACGUUAAGCGUGCGUAGAGUUGUAUCGAUGGUCGAUAGAACUUGAGGGGAUAUUUGUUCUACCUUUAGCUCCUCGUUCGGUUCGACACUCUUACUUAUCGAAAGAGGCUACAGUUGAUCCCCUAUACUUGUGGGUUAUCAAGACCUUUUCCUGGCGCUGUUGCCGGGGAGUCAUAGCGUGGGGUGAAUAUUCUCGUGUGUGCUUGUUUGCUUUAUCACUAAGUAAUUUUUAUUUGCCGUUCUUAGUUGUUUUCUAUCUUUAGUUAUGGGUAGGAAACGCAAAAUACCAAAAAAAAA